GAUGAACGCUGGCGGCGUGCCUAAUACAUGCAAGUCGAGCGAACAGACGAGGAGCUUGCUCCUCUGACGUUAGCGGCGGACGGGUGAGUAACACGUGGAUAACCUACCUAUAAGACUGGGAUAACUUCGGGAAACCGGAGCUAAUACCGGAUAAUAUAUUGAACCGCAUGGUUCAAUAGUGAAAGACGGUUUUGCUGUCACUUAUAGAUGGAUCCGCGCCGCAUUAGCUAGUUGGUAAGGUAACGGCUUACCAAGGCAACGAUGCGUAGCCGACCUGAGAGGGGGAUCGGCCAAACUGGAACUGAGACACGGUCCAGACUCCUACGGGAGGCAGCAGUAGGGAAUCUUCCGCAAUGGGCGAAAGCUUGACGGAGCAACGCCGCGUGAGUGAUGAAGGUCUUCGGAUCGUAAAACUCUGUUAUUAGGGAAGAACAAAUGUGUAAGUAACUAUGCACGUCUUGACGGUACCUAAUCAGAAAGCCACGGCUAACUACGUG
rnacentral:rRNA from 1 species